rnacentral:lncRNA from 1 species
CUUCAACUUUCCGAGUAGCUGGGACUACAGGCAUGCACCACCAUGCACAGCCCUUUAGGUACGGUGCUGAGUACCCAUGAACCUUAUCUCUGAUCACCACUGCAACUCACUCUUAUGGCAUGGAUCAGCAAGCAGGGCUCAGAGAAGAGCCAAAUCAAUGGUACUCAUGCUACGAACAGGAGCUAUGGUAUUUUUACCAAAUCUGGAGACAGUGAUCUUCACUUUGAAAAACAGGUUCUGAGAAGCCCCUCAGAAGUGAGAAAGGCUGUAACCUAACCUCGAAAUUUAUUAGCAGAAGCAGGUAAGGACACUAACAGACACACAGGAGAGGCUUAGUAAUUUGCUGUGGUGGCCAGACUCCACGAUGGUCCUGAUCACUCACUCUGGCAGAAACCAUGUUAUAAUCAGCGCUGUGAAAUGGCUCAUGAGUCUGUGAGCAGCCACGUUGUGAGCAGUCCUAAGGAAAGGCCCAAAUAGCAAGAAAUGGAAACUUCCUGACAACAGCCAGUUAUUGAGAGAGAAUCUCUGGACCCUUUCGUGCAGUUAUUGAGAGAGAAUCUCUGGACCCUUUCGUGCCCCUAAAAUUAAAUCCCCUGACUCCAGGCUAAAAAAUAUGGCAAUAACUUUGUUUGGGGCCAGGGUGGUCCCUUAAUCCUGAGGCAUUUGUGAUUCCUUCCCCCCUAUCAACCCAGCAUCCCUCACCCUUCUACCACUGGAAACAUAAUGACUUAAGAAGCUCAAUUUGGUCUCAUGAGCAGCCUUCAAGCAAACCUUUUGCUGGGAAGGUCGUUAUGGAGAAAAGCAAGGGUUUCAGAAAUGAAAUAAAUUGUUCUAUCAAUAAGCAGUACAUCUGGCAUUUAUUAAUUAAAGGCUGGGGAGCCUCUGGGGGCAGGAGACUGGGUGGCUGCUGCAAGU